GGCCCAGCGCCUUUGCCCCGCAAGCCAGGGAGCGGUGCCAUUGCUCCAGGAAGUCGCCUGGCCUGAGACUUUCCUAAAUUCUACCCAGACUCAGCGCCCAGAGCCUGAUGCGACUAACACUGCCCUUGUCAGGACCGCCCUUGUCAGGACAGCCUGCAGGGUCCUUAGUCUCAGGUGGCGUCCCUGCAAAGCAGACCCCGAGACAAGGGUCUGGGCACAAGUGGCUGUUCUGGAGGGGAGUCUAGGAUUUGCUGCGAGGCACCGGGGGAAGCAGGAUGGGAAGCAGGGAGCCCGCAAAGCAACUCAGCCUGCUGGGGACCCUCCGAGAACAGAGGCCCAUGAUGUGCCGAGUGGUCCUGCUGGGAUGGUGGAUGGCGUUGGGAUGGGAUCCUGUGAAUAAAAUGGCGCAGACGUGCUUGUGCGGCUUUCCUGCUGGAGUCCAUGAGCGUCUCGAGGAUUUGGUUGAGCCUUUAUUGGGCUGUCAAGGUGUCUUCCUAGACCUCAUGGUGUCACUGAAUUGGAUCCAUUAUAACCCUCCAUUCAUCUGCUUGGCUCUCGACAGACUCACAAAUGUGCUCAGAGGCCAAGUCACCCUGUGUGCUGCCAGCCCGGGGCAUGUGUGUUCAUGUCAUGUCACAAUCUGUUCAGAGUACUGUCAUCAGCAACAGAGCAUGGCUCAGCACGCGGGCAAAACUGCACCAACCACGAUGCAUGGACACAGCACCCAUCUAGCCCUGACCUGGUGGUUUGUUUGUGUCCCCUUGCUCUGCCCUACCCAAGGAGGAUGGGGGGUUCAGUGUGUAAAAAAAUAAAGUCUGGACUCAUAGAUAAUAUUA